AUACGUAGGGGGCGAGCGUUGUCCGGAAUUACUGGGCGUAAAGGGUGCGUAGGCGGCGAUGCAAGUCCAUUGUGAAAAGCCCGGGCUCAACCUGGGAGGUGCAGUGGAAACUGUAUGGCUUGAGUGCAGGAGAUGAAAGUGGAAUUCCUAGUGUAGCGGUGAAAUGCGUAGAUAUUAGGAGGAACACCAGUGGCGAAGGCGACUUUCUGGACUGUAACUGACGCUGAGGCACGAAAGCGUGGGGAGCAAACAGGAUUAGAUACCCUGGUAGUCCACGCCGUAAACGAUGGAUACUAGGUGUAGGGGGUAUCGACCCCCCCUGUGCCGAAGUUAACACAUUAAGUAUCCCGCCUGGGGAGUACGGCCGCAAGGUUGAA
rnacentral:rRNA from 1 species